GGGUGAGUAAUGCAGAGGAACCUCCCUAACAGUAAGGAAUAAUUUUGGGAAACCAAAACUAAUACCAUAUAUUACCGACCUAGUCGGAAAGAUACGUCGCUGUUAGAUGGGCCUCUGUCAGAUUAGCUAGUUGGUGAGGUAAAUGCUCACCAAGGCGAUGAUCUGUAGCUGGUCUGAGAGGAUGAUCAGCCACACUGGAACUGAGACACGGUCCAGACUCCUACGGGAGGCAGCAGUGGGGAAUCUUGCACAAUGGAGGAAACUCUGAUGCAGGAUGCCGCGUGAGUGAAGAAGGCCUUUGGGUUGUAAAGCUCUUUUGUAGGGGAAGAUAAUGACUGUACCCUAAGAAUAAGGUCCGGCUA
rnacentral:rRNA from 1 species